UCCAUGGGUCUACCUCCACAACGCACUCCGCGCCCAAGGGACAGGGCUAGGCGUCACCAGCCCACAGGUAUGGACAGUCUCAUUAAUGACAUGGGCGAAUUGCAGAUUGGGCAAGAAGCAACAUUGCAACUGGCGUUACAAAACGGCCAACAUAUCCGACGUGUGCGAGAGGAAGACGCACAACGCUGGGCUGGAUGGUACCAGAAUUUCCCGCCACCACAGUGAGCGAAGAUCUAGCUUGGGGGAGAUCCUCUCCCCCACUAAGGUAAGUAUUCUAUCCUAUUUAUUUUCAUGCAUUUUAUCAUUCUUACUUAAAAAAAAUAUUUAUUAGCAUUUCCCUUUAGCAUAUAUGCUUCAUGUAUGUUUAUAUCCCUCAUGGAAAUGAUGACUAGUUGCUUGUUAAUGUUUCUCUAGUACCUAGUAUACAACUUAGUAUUUCUCUAAGUAUGGAUCACUUAGCUCACUUAAACUGCCAUGAACCUAAAAACUUUGUGGGUUGCAAGUGCUAGAACUAAGUCUAAGUUGUUGUGGGACAUGAGAUAGUAAGACAAGAGCUACUAUAAUAUUUUUCUAAGCAUGCAUGAUUAUCAGAGAUUUAUUCUUAAAAUGAUCAAAACCUUAAUUGUUCCUCAAUGGUGAUGAAUUCCUACCACAGCCAUAUCUACUUUACAUAAUUGAAAUCUUUCCACAUAAGCUAUUUGCUUUGUGUUGAGUGUCGUCAAGUCGUGUUGACCCUUGUUAAGAGACUUUUCAUGCUCCUAAGAUCAAGAUCACGUACACACCACAUAUAUAUAUGCUGCUUCUACACUGGAAGUACGCAACCACAUGUAUUUCGCAUCCACUAAAUAGGUUGCUCCAUACUCUAAAUGUUAGAACAUCUCUCUAAGCAUUAUUUGGUAAAUGAGACAUCAAAAGGCUAGGCAAAAUGAAAUAAAAAGAUGGAC
rnacentral:lncRNA from 1 species